rnacentral:rRNA from 1 species
CGACGAGUUUGAUCCUGGCUCAGAUUGAACGCUGGCGGAAUGCUUUACACAUGCAAGUCGAACGGCAACACGGGGGCAACCCUGGUGGCGAGUGGCGAACGGGUGAGUAAUACAUCGGAACGUGCCCAGUCGUGGGGGAUAACGUAGCGAAAGCUACGCUAAUACCGCAUACGAUCUACGGAUGAAAGCGAGGGAUCGCAAGACCUCGCGCGAUUGGAGCGGCCGAUGGCAGAUUAGGUAGUUGGUGGGGUAAAGGCUCACCAAGCCUUCGAUCUGUAGCUGGUCUGAGAGGACGACCAGCCACACUGGGACUGAGACACGGCCCAGACUCCUACGGGAGGCAGCAGUGGGGAAUUUUGGACAAUGGGCGAAAGCCUGAUCCAGCCAUUCCGCGUGCAGGAUGAAGGCCCUCGGGUUGUAAACUGCUUUUGUACGGAACGAAACGGCCUUUUCUAAUACAGAGGGCUAAUGACGGUACCGUAAGAAUAAGCACCGGCUAACUACGUG